rnacentral:lncRNA from 1 species
UAUACAGAAAGUAUUAGUUUUAAUCCAGUGUCUUCUCUGCCUGUAUAACUUACUGUUAUGAGCAAAGGUGAUAUCCUACUUAAUUUGACAUCCUCUAGGCAGGGAAUAAUAGAACAUUUGAUAGCAUUCAUUAUUUGGGCCCACCAAAAUACACACUCACCCACGUGGGCUUGCGCACACACGCACACACACACCCUUAAUGAUUACAUGAGGGGGAGCUACUGACAGUAGGAGCCGGUCAUAAAUGGGGUAAGAAUCAUGACAGGAAAAGCCACAGUGCAUGGCAACGCUGGAUCCUUAACCCACUGAGCAAGGCCUGGGAUCGAACCCGCCACCUCCUCGUUCCUAGUCGGCUUCGUUUCUGUCGCGCCAGGACGGGAACUCCUUUUUAUUUAUUUAUUUAUUUGGGGUGGGGGGAGGGCUUCUUGCCUUUUAAGGGGCUCUAAUGUUCUCCUGCGGUGGGAGCUGUAGCGUGGGUUAGGGAUGCUUGACAUAGCCUAUGGUGAUGUGAAAUGUUGGCAUUUCAACAUCCCGUUUACCCUCUUUUCUGCUGGAAACUAAAACUGAACUAACACUAAAACUGAUAGUGAAGUCUUGGGCUUUUGCUAUAAAGAGUGAGAGUUCCAUGGCUCUGCUAUGAUAAUACUCCUACAGGGUGAUUCAUAGGUUAAACUGUUAGGACAGAAAAGAAAUAUUUUUACUUGGCUAUGCCCUCCUUUAAAAAAAAAAAAAACGCAAAUAUUACUUUACUGUGUUUUUUAAAAAAAACCCUAUCACUGGCAUAGUUUUCAGUUUUUUCACAGUUGAUUGUCUUUAAGCAUACAAUCUUUAACUGGGAAAUCAUUCAGAGAUAAUUAUUUGGGGAAGGAAGAUGGCAAGGGAAAUAGUUAUGUAGUCAGUUUUUGAUUAUCCGUGAUGAUUUUGCUACUGGAAUUAAAAUCCUAUUUUAGCAAAUAGCAACGGUUACCUUCUCUUUUUGCUAACCCUUAGAACAAAGUGUUUUAUUAGGAAACAGAGCUGCAUUUUAUUUCUCCUCCGGAGCCCUGGGCCUGUCUUGUAUUUUCACUUUCUGCAGCACCUGCUGUUUUCCCCAUUUCGGCAGUGUGCUGCAACUGGCUUGCAUUGGAUGGAAAACCAAUUGUGUCUCUCCUUCCAGCACCACGUUCUCUUUCCCCACCUUCGUACCUUGACGUCUGCUGCACUAAGAGUAUUUACACCAGGGAAAUUGACAGAGGCAGCGAAUCAGGGCUUUCCCCCAGAGGUGAUUAUUAGACCUUUCACCAGCCCACUAUUGCCCUCUUGAGUCCUCUUAAUUUUUGGAUGCAUAUUCUCUAAAUUAUAUUAUAUGUUAACCUUUUUGCAAGCAGAGGUUGUGAUGGAAAAGGUUACUCUUUCUUGGCCUCAUUAUAAUCAUGCGUAUACUUACAUCUGCAUUUUAGUGUCUCUCUUUCUUCAUGUUUCCCAUCAGAAGAAGGCUUCUUCCUUCUGGAAGCCUUCCCUCGCUUCCUGUUUGCUGACUCUGAGUGCCUACAGCCCGUGCCUUAGAGAACCAAGUCCACUAGGUAUGCGUACAGUAGAAAAACAAAUGAGAGUUUGAAGAGUUUUGUAAAAGAAUAAAGUUCUUGAAUAAAGUGCAUAGCCUUGGCCCAGAGCUUUUAUGAAAAACAGCUUGAUGCCAGGACUUGUUUUAGGGACAUUGGAUCUGUGCAGUCACUCAGGGCUCCAUGCUGACAAAGGCCUCGUGCUUGGUUUAACGCUCUGUAGUUACCAUCUUGAAAUUCUGAAUACUUUUUGAGCGAGAGGUCCUGCAUUUUCGUUUUGCUCUCGGCUCCAUAAAUUAUGGAGGCAAUCCUCAUCGCUGUUCAGAUGUCUUCUUUGCUUCUGAUGUUAGCAAGCUUCACUUCUUGGAAGCCUGGUGUCUGGGUCAGUGGGAUGUUUCUAUAUUAACUACGGAUGAAUGCUUGGUCAGAUCACUGUGAAUCCUGAGUGAGUAG